rnacentral:lncRNA from 1 species
GACUGUCAAGUCUGCAUGAGACUUUUGAAGUUGGAAUUUCCAAAAUGGCCACCGUUGCCAUGGAAACUGCAGAAAUGUCAAAUAUUUUCAAAAUGCUCCAAACUUAAUGAAACUUAAUAUAAUUGUUAACUGGCAUGUAUAGAUGAGACUUUUGACUUCGGGAUUUUCAAAAUGGCUGCCGUUGCCAUGGAAACAGAAGAAAUGUGAAACUUUUGACAAUGCUCAAAACGUACUAAAAAUUUACAGAAAGAUAUAUCGCAAUGCGUUGAUCUGCAUUCACUGUUAAAUUGUUUUCAAAUGGAUGCCGCUUAGUGGCAAUAGGGGAAGGGUGACAUCCGCUAUUGCUUGCAAUGGCAAUUCUAGUUAUGUCACCCUGACGGAGGUCGGGUGACAUAUUGUUAUUGUACGAUUCUUUUUUUUAUUAUUAUUCCACACUUUUUUGUCCAGACUAUUUCUGAGAAUUGGAUGGACCAAUUGUUAUGGAACUUUACCAAAAUGUUAAAGACCAUGUGCAGAAGUGCAGUCGAGGGGUGGCAUAUCCAACAUGGCUGCCGUUG